GAAAUAAAGGAAAAAGCGGAUAAUUUAGACUGACUUGUUGAUCUCAUGAAAAACAAGAUGCAAUCCUCUAACAGAAGACAGAAAAUACAAAUACUGACUAUUGCUCCACCUUCUUGGUCCAUUGAAAAAACUAAAAAUGAAUUUAACGUUUCUGCUUACAUGGUCAGGCAGGCAAGAAAAUUAGUGAAAGAAAGGGGUAUUUUGGAGUUACCAGGACCAAAGAAAGGAAAAGCUUUAUCUGAAGAAACAAAAAGAUGUGUUGUUGAUUUUUAUUGCGACGAUGAGUACAGUAGACUUAUGCCAGGCAAAAAGGAUUGUGUUAGCAUUGCAAGAAAUGUUCACAAGCAGAAAAGGCU